CUGAAUACUCGCAUUUUGGCAUUACCAUACUGUCAGAUAGUUCAGUCGUUGGGAUCAUACUGAAAAUUAAUUUUUUUGAUUAUUUUUUUAAUUAUUUGUGUUUGAAAAUUCAAAUAUCAUCAAUGCUCCGAAAUACGCAAAAAGUUCAAU
ensembl:ncRNA W01A8.11 ncRNA